rnacentral:rRNA from 1 species
UACGUAGGGUGCAAGCGUUGUCCGGAAUUAUUGGGCGUAAAGAGCUCGUAGGCGGUCUGUCGCGUCUGCUGUGAAAAACUCGGGGCUUAACCCCCGGGCCUGCAGUGGGUACGGGCAGACUAGAGUGCGGUAGGGGGAGACUGGAAUUCCUGGUGUAGCGGUGAAAUGCGCAGAUAUCAGGAGGAACACCGGUGGCGAAGGCGGGUCUCUGGGCCGUAACUGACGCUGAGGAGCGAAAGCAUGGGGAGCGAACAGG